CCUCAGGUACAGUGGCUCACCUAUCUCUUCCGAUAUCCAGUUGAUAAAGCAAAUCAGGUUGACUAAGUGGACCUGGCCAUCCUUGUAGAAGAAGGAGAUCUCAUUUUGGACUCAAGUCUCUGAUGCAUUGUCCAAUCAAGCUUUACCAUCAAUCUAGCUGAAGUCUGACCCACAUUUGAUUCAAUUUUCUCAUAUAGAACCUGUGAUGAAGACUUGGACUAAGUGGGAGAGGGCUCUCCAGCGACCUGAACCAACCAGAAAUCAAAGGGAAUGGAAGGUCAUUCCCGUGGCCUGUAUGGGUCCCCCUCCCAUGGCAGGGAGCAGAGCAGAGAAGGGGGAGAGGCAAGUGGAAGGUACCUGGUAUGACAUUCUCACCUAGCACUUUGAGAAGAUGAGGGGUUGGGAAUGAGGAUACAGGAGCUCCAGUAUGCUGAAUUAGAUAGGGCAAUAAUGGACAUCCUCAUCUUGUUCCUGAAGUGAAACAGAAUGCAUCUAACAUUUCACCAAUGGGUAGAAUUUUUAUUGUAAAUAAGAAUAUUUUGAAACUGGAAUUUUGUAACUCACAUUUUUAUGUUAAUUCAGGAAUUACUUUUGUUGAGAAAUACUGACAGUUAGUAUCAUAGAAGUGGGUGCUAUAGAGGCCUAAAUUUAAGCUUAUGGAUAUCUGCCUAAUAUUCAAACAGAUUUGGAAGAAAACUGGGAGAAAGAAAUAUUUAAAUCUUUUCACUUUUCAACCCUCCCUCCCCCAUCCCCAAGGGCCCCAACCCACCUCACUCAUUAUUAUCAUCACUCAACUUGAAAAAUAGAGUUGCCAUUGUUUAAUAUGGUAAAGACUGUGGGAGCAAUAGGUUUGAGGGUAAAACAUCAGGAGUUCAUUUUUUAAGUUUAAUCAAAACUGGUUUUUAAAUAUUUAACUGGUAACAUCAAAUAGGCAGCCAACUGCAGAGUCUGGAGUUCAGAGUAGAGGUCCAGGCUAGCAUAGAAAUCUGGGCAACAUCAGUUUUUAUAGAUGGUGUUUAAAGCCAUGAAGACUGGAUGGAAUCACCCAGGGGUGGUGAGUAAAGACAGUAGAAAGAAUCAAGGACUGAGGACUGGGAACUCAUUUUAAGAUGUGACAUAUUAAAUGAAGUUAACAAAGGAGGCUAAGGAAGAGGCAUCAUUGAAGAAAGAGAACCAAGAACACAUGUUCUCCUGAAGUCAAGUUCUGAAUCUGUUUCAAGGACGAGGGUGCAGUCAUCUAGGUCAAAUGAUGCCAAUAGGUCAAGUAAGAAGAGGAUCGGGAACUAAGCACUGGAUUUCACAACACAGAGGUCUUUAGUAACCUUCAUAUCGUUUGGUGAAAUGGUUGAUGACAGGUUCAAGAGAGAAUAGGGAGAUAGGACAUCAUUCCAUGUAUAGUCGUGUGACCUAAUGUUUUCACUUAAUAUAUUAAAAAUAGAAUAUUUAAGCACACAGAAACUUUUAUAACAUCAGUUUCAAUGGCUGGAUAGUAUUCAAGUGUAGAUGUUCUACAUUGUAUUUAAUUAAUUCCAUAUGUUUGGAUAUAUGAACUGUUUCCUUCC